AGCUAAGAAUCUUCCGCAAUGGGCGAAAGCCUGACGGAGCGACGUCGCGUGGAUGACGAAGGUCGAGAGAUUGUAAAAUCCUUUUCUGUGAGAGGAAUAAGGCGGGGAGUGGAACGCCCUGCCGAUGACGUUAACACAGGAAUAAGCUCCGGCAAAUUACGUGCCAGCAGCCGCGGUAAUACGUAAGGAGCGAGCGUUGUUCGGAUUUAUUGGGCGUAAAGGGCGCGCAGGCGGUUCUGUAAGUCUGUAAUCAAAUCCCCGGGCUUAACUCGGGACAGGUUAUGGAAACUGUGGAACUAGAAUCCUUUAGGGGAAGCUGGAAUUCCUGGUGUAGGGGUGGAAUCUGUUGAUAUCAGGAAGAACACCAAAGGCGAAGGCAGGCUUCUGGGGAGUGAUUGACGCUGAGGCGCGAAAGUGUAGGGAGCAAA
rnacentral:rRNA from 1 species